AUUGAACGCUGGCGGCAUGCCUUACACAUGCAAGUCGAACGGUAACGCGGGGCAACCUGGCGACGAGUGGCGAACGGGUGAGUAAUGCAUCGGAACGUGCCCAGUAGUGGGGGAUAGCCCGGCGAAAGCCGGAUUAAUACCGCAUACGACCCACGGGUGAAAGCGGGGGACCGCAAGGCCUCGCGCUAUGGGAGCGGCCGAUGUCAGAUUAGGUAGUUGGUGGGGUAAAGGCCCACCAAGCCUUCGAUCUGUAGCUGGUCUGAGAGGACGACCAGCCACACUGGGACUGAGACACGGCCCAGACUCCUACGGGAGGCAGCAGUGGGGAAUUUUGGACAAUGGGGGCAACCCUGAUCCAGCCAUGCCGCGUGCGGGAAGAAGGCCUUCGGGUUGUAAACCGCUUUUGUCAGGGAAGAAAUCCUCCGGGCUAACACCUCGGGGGGAUGACGGUACCUGGAGAAUAAGCACCGGCUAACUACGUGCCAGCAGCCGCGGUAAAAC
rnacentral:rRNA from 1 species